rnacentral:rRNA from 1 species
UAAUACGUAGGGGGCGAGCGUUGUCCGGAAUCAUUGGGCGUAAAGCGCGUGUAGGCGGCUCAGUCAGUCUGGUGUGAAACCUUGGGGCUCAACCCCAAGCCUGCACUGGAUACUGCUGAGCUUGAGUCCGGGAGGGGAGAGCGGAAUUCCUAGUGUAGCGGUGAAAUGCGCAGAUAUUAGGAAGAACACCGGUGGCGAAGGCGGCUCUCUGGAACGGUACUGACGCUGAGACGCGAAAGCGUGGGGAGCGAACAGG